UACGUAGGGUGCAAGCGUUGUCCGGAAUUAUUGGGCGUAAAGAGCUCGUAGGCGGUCUGUCACGUCGGCUGUGAAAACCCGGGGCUCAACCUCGCGCCUGCAGUGGGUACGGGCAGACUAGAGUGCGGUAGGGGAGAUUGGAAUUCCUGGUGUAGCGGUGGAAUGCGCAGAUAUCAGGAGGAACACCGAUGGCGAAGGCAGAUCUCUGGGCCGUAACUGACGCUGAGGAGCGAAAGCGUGGGGAGCGAACAGG
rnacentral:rRNA from 1 species